UUUAUUCCAGAUGCCAUCGUUUUGUGCCGAUUAAGGGAAAAUGGCUGCGAACACCAAACACCGUAGUGUGGUUGUUGGAUUGGGGAUACUAAUUUGCCGCGAAUGAACACCUAUUGAUAGCAGUCAUUGCUGAACAGGUUCUAAUACAUUGUUUAAAGUACUCUGGAAGAUUCCGUACAUGGAUGUUCGUUAUCCGGGGGAAAUACGCUAUUCAGGGCUUUUAUUAUCGGCUUCCGGGAAUCACCAUCAAUGGACCCUGAACGAACAGCAUCUAUUGCUUCGUAGGUGAAAGAAAAAAAA